CAAGAACACGUUUUAUUCCAACAGUGCCAAACACAAAGCAUGAAAUUUUCCUAAAGUAAAUAUAUCGGUUGAAACACAAAGAAUACAACAGCUAGUUAAUAUGUGGUGUUUCGAAGUUUCUCAAAACUUUUUUUUUUUUUUUUUGACAAAAUGUGAAUUCAUUUCAAUAAGAAAUGGCAAAGAGGUACAAGCAAGCAUGAACCUAAAGCUGCAAUUAAGCAAAGUUCUAUCAAAGAGACCCCAAAAAAAGAUAAAAAAGCCCCUUGGAUACAAAAUAGGUUUAGUCUAAAUCAUAAGAAACAGACUAAAGCUAAACUAGGAGAUCAUAAGGUUAACUAUUGGCCAUAGGUAGACCAAGAAGCAACUCAUUCACUGUAAACUGCAAAUGAGAAGACUGGUCUUGGGUAUGGAUGGAAACGGAGCAAUCCCGGGGAUACUUUGACGGCAACAGGCGGAGUCGGAUUGGCGAGCCGUCCCCGGCUAUUACACUAACAAUGAGACCAGAUCCAGCCAAACCAGAGACUUUGCGAAGGAGAAGCUGUGAGUCCAAACUAACAGAUGAAAGACACUCGAUGAAGAACAAGGGCUCUUGAGGAGGUAGGCGGAGGUUUAUCUCCCGACUCCGGCCACUUCCUCGGAGGAGAUAAUGCAUUUCAACCGUCAAAGAGGCAGCAACACCCACCCAAAACUUCAUUCCCAGGCUUGAAGAACGGGAGCAGAAGCUCCAAACAAACACGGCAAGCGACUGAGGAUGCUGUAGAGUAACCGCAACGAAGGGUCUGAAACAGGGCCAGUCCCCGAAGCCCCAAAGAACCAACAAGCAGCAACAAGAAACAACACAUCCACGGAUAACCACCGUGAUAAGCUAACCCCACAAUCUUAAACAGAGGUUCUCAGUGGUUUCCUCCACACCACUUUCUCACAGAGAAGAGAAGCUCUGAACUUACCCGUGAGAUAAACCGACGGAGAUGAAGGAGCACGAAGCUAAUCGAAGACAUGAAGGAGGCAGCGACGCACCAGACUGCCAUCGACGCCUCAGAGAAACUAGAUCUGACCCAGAUCUAUCGCCUUCACCCAAGAGAGCAAGCUCACGGAACCCUUCAACACAACCAGUAACCGAGACCUCGUCACUGCUCCAGAGGGCCACAGACACCCGCGAAACCCCUUUUAAAACCGCCGGAGAACCACCGGAGGAGAUCCAGAAACAGUCAACAUGUCGGACGGGUUAAUGAGGAGAAGAAGGGGUAAGAGGAGGUAACCAAGACAAAAAACUAAAAAGGGGUGACCGACGACAAGGAGAGUCGCCAGUCACCGGAGGAAGACGAAUAGAUUUGGUUUUUUAGGGUAGAGAGGUUUUUAGAGAUAGAGAGAGAAAAAGUUUUUCUUCGUAGUCAUAAAAGGAGUAGGAGGUGUCGGCCAAGGUGCACAAGUAGCUCUGAACUUUGCAAAGUGGAACGCCGUUGGAGAUCAUACGAUGAAUAUGCGACUUGUAAUAGGGAUAAACUCUUGGUGUGUAUAUACUCUUCUAGUACUCAUGUUAAUAUUUAAUUAGUUAUUAUAACUAAAGUUAGAUAUAACAUGUUGACUUCACCCAGGAGAAUACCUACCAACAGGAUAGAUUAUGAUUUUGGGGCUGCAAUUCGUUCUUCAUGGCAGUCAAUCCUACUUAUACGUGGAAAUCGUAUGUGUAUAAUGUUAAUUUAUAUAUUUGUUUUUCGCAAUAGAUAGACAAGGAUCAUGAGAUAUAUAUAAAAAAAAGAGAUAUAUAUAUAUAUAUAUAUAUAUAAUAACUCUUUGUGAUUGUUUUGUGUUGCAGUCGAACCGAGUAUUCCUUUAUACUUUGCAAAAGAAACUGCUGUCUCCCUUAUAGAUGAUGGAUUUGGAGAAGUUUCGUUUGUACAAUUCCGAAUGUAUAAACAUACAUUAACGAUUUUACUUUGCUUUGUUCUACCAUUUUUGUUUGAACACUUUGUGUAAUUAGGUUAUGUCAUUGUGCAGGCUUGGUCGUGAAAUCACUGUGAACGUACUGAAAAAGGUCGAAGUCUGGUUGAACGGGAAGCUUCCACUCGAUCCAAACUAAUAUCAUCCAUGAACUGUUAUCUAUUUUUUUCAGUAUUUUCGUUGCGCUAUUUAGUGAACUAAUGUCGUUGAUAUUUUCAACAUUACUAAUAAAACUGCAUGAAACAGACUCUACAACUUAUGAUAUUUCCAUGAGAUUGUGUUCCUAUUAAUUUUUUUUUGACAAAAUGUGAAUUCAUUUCAAUAAGAAAUGGCAAAGAGGUACAAGCAAGCAUGAACCUAAAGCUGCAAUUAAGCAAAGUUCUAUCAAAGAGACCCCAAAAAAAGAUAAAAAAGCCCCUUCGAUACAAAAUAGGUUUAGUCUAAAUCAUAAGAAACAAACUAAAGCUAAACUAGGAGAUCAUAAGAUUAACUAUUGGCCAUAGGUAGACCAAGAAGCAACUAAUUCACUGUAAACUGCAAAUGAGAAGACUGGUCUUGGGUAUGGAUGGAAACGGAGCAAUCCCGGGGAUACUUUGACGGCAACAGGAGGAGGCGGAUUGGCGAGCUGGCCCCGGCUAUUACACUACCAAUGAGACCAAAUCCAGCCAAACCAGAAACUUUGCAAAGGAGAAGCUGUGAGUCCAAACUAACAGAUGAAAGACACUCGAUGAAGAACAGGGGCUCUUGAGGUGGUAGGCGGAGAUUUAUCUCCCGACUCCAGCCACUUCCUCGAGGAAUAAUGCAUUUCAACCGUCGAAGAGGCAGCGACACCCACCCGAAGCUUCAUUCUCAGGCUUGAAGAACGGGAGCAGAAGCUCCAAACAAACACGGCAAGCGACUGAAGAUGCUGUAGAGUAACCGCAACGAAGGGUCUGAAACAGGGCCAGUCCCCGAAGCCCCAAAGAACCAACAAGCAGCAACAAGAAACAACACUUCCACGGAUAACCACCGUGAUAAGCUAACCCCACAAUCUUAAACAGAGGUUCUCAGUGGUUUCCUCCACACCACUUUCUCACAGAGAAGAGAAGCUCUGAACUUACCCGUGAGAUAAACCGACGGAGAUGAAGGAGCACGAAGCUAAUCGAAGACAUGAAGGAGGCAGCGACGCACCAGACUGCCAUCGACGCCUCAGAGAAACUAGAUCUGACCCAGAUCUAUCGCCUUCACCCAAGAGAGCAAGCUCACGGAACCCUUCAACACAACCAGUAACCGAGACCUCGUCACUGCUCCAGAGGGCCACAA
rnacentral:lncRNA from 1 species